GGGGAAUAUUGCGCAAUGGGGGAAACCCUGACGCAGCGACGCCGUGUGAGGGAAGAAGGCUUUCGGGUCGUAAACCUCUGUCAGGAAGGAAGAACCUCUCAGGGCUGAACAAGCCCUGGGACUGACGGUACUUCCAGAGGAAGCACCGGCUAACUCCGUGCCAGCAGCCGCGGUAAUACGGAGGGGGCUAGCGUUGUUCGGAAUUACUGGGCGUAAAGCGCGCGCAGGCGGGUCAUCAAGUCAGAGGUGAAAGCCCGGAGCUUAACUCCGGAAUAGCCUUUGAAACUGUUGAUCUUGAGUACGGGAGAGGUGAGUGGAAUUCCCAGUGUAGAGGUGAAAUUCGUAGAUAUUGGGAAGAACACCAGUGGCGAAGGCGGCUCACUGGCCCGUUACUGACGCUCAGGCGCGAUAGCGUGGAGAUCAAACA
rnacentral:rRNA from 1 species